GAACGAGCGAGAGAGAGCUGCUUCUCGAGCGAGUGGCGAACGGGUGAGUAACGCGUGAGGAACCUGCCUCAAAGAGGGGGACAACAGUUGGAAACGACUGCUAAUACCGCAUAAGCCCACGGUGCCGCAUGGCACAGAGGGAAAAGGAGCAAUCCGCUUUGAGAUGGCCUCGCGUCCGAUUAGCUAGUUGGUGAGGUAACGGCCCACCAAGGCGACGAUCGGUAGCCGGACUGAGAGGUUGAACGGCCACAUUGGGACUGAGACACGGCCCAGACUCCUACGGGAGGCAGCAGUGGGGAAUAUUGCACAAUGGGGGAAACCCUGAUGCAGCGACGCCGCGUGGAGGAAGAAGGUCUUCGGAUUGUAAACUCCUGUUGUUGGGGAAGAUAAUGACGGUACCCAACAAGGAAGUGACGGCUAACUACGUGCCAGCAGCCGCGGUAAAACGUAGGUCACAAGCGUUGUCCGGAACUACUGGGUGUAAAGGGAGCGCAGGCGGGAAGACAAGUUGGAAGUGAAAUCUAUGGGCUCAACCCAUAAACUGCUUUCAAAACUGUUUUUCUUGAGUAGUGCAGAGGUAGGCGGAAUUCCCGGUGUAGCGGUGGAAUGCGUAGAUAUCGGGAGG
rnacentral:rRNA from 1 species